rnacentral:lncRNA from 1 species
CAGUUAAAUUAAAAGUUUUAUCUUUUUUUUUGAAAGAUAGGUAGCAUGCUAUCCGCUUCGUUUAUUUCUUCAUUUAGAAAUAAACUUAGCUGGAAAUGCGAAUCAACUAGAAUUCGAACUUGGAAUCUCAAAUACUGUCACGCCCCGGGGUCCAUUUUCAGUUUAAAACAAAGCGGAAAAACGUCUGAAUUUUUUUUUUUGAAAACCUGACCCCAGAGUAUGCGAGAUCCGCCACAAAUACAGGGAAUCCACUUUUCACACGGACAGAGUCUCCCCUGUAUUUGCACGGCGUCGNUAAAUCCUUUAAUUCAAAUUCAAAUUUGAAUCUCCUACUACUAGUAGGUACAUGUAACAUCCCUCACCUUACUCUAGGUCACAUACACAGAUCACGAGGGGUGUCAUAAAGCAAGAAUAGCAAAGAACGAAAAUCCUCUUUUUAAUAAAACUCCUUUUUCUCGAAAACCGUGCAUCGGAUCUGAAAUCCGUCAGUGCCAUUGGUUCCAGAAUAGCUGAUCCGAUCGAAACGAGCUAUUGAACCGCUAUGAACGGAGUCCGAUACGCGCCGAUAGUCAACUCUACUCCGUGGCUUCACCGAAAAACCGAAGUUACUAUUCACUUAAGUGAAAACUAAUAAUCGCGUAACUUCUCCGUUUUAGCUCAUUUUCUCCUGAAACUUGACGAGUGCUUAUGUAAUUAAAUUACACACAUAAACAUCGUCAACAGAGAGUUUAGUAGCACUGUAAAAAUCUCAAUCCUUACAAAUACUAACCACCAAGCCUUUGCCACUUGCUCUAGGGACGGUCGGUAAAUUAAAUGCUUUAUCAAACUUAGUUAUAUUAUUAUCUAU